CUUCUGGUGGUCCAGUGGUUAGGACCCUGUGCUUCCAAUGCAAGGGACUCAGGUUUGAUCCCUGAUCAGGGAA
rnacentral:tRNA from 1 species